CACGUAGGGGCCGAGCGUUGUCCGGAUUCAUUGGGCGUAAAGAGCUCGUAGGCGGUUCAGUCAGUCGGGUGUGAAAUCUCCGGGCUCAACUCGGAGGGGCCACCCGAUACUGCUGUGACUUGAGUCCGGUAGGGGAGUGGGGAAUUCCUGGUGUAGCGGUGAAAUGCGCAGAUAUCAGGAGGAACACCGGUGGCGAAGGCGGAUCUCUGGGCCUUACCUGACGCUGAGGCGCGAAAGCUAGGGGAGCGAACAGG
rnacentral:rRNA from 1 species